UACGAGGGGGGCAAAUGUUGUUCGGAAUCACUGGGCGUAAAGGGAGCGUAGACGGGUUUUUAAGUUGGAUGUUUAACCCCGGGGCCCAACCCCGGAUCGGCAUCCAAAACUGGAAAUCUUGAAUAGGGGAGAGGUCAGUGGAAUUGGAGGUGUAGCGGUGGAAUGCGUAGAGAUCUCCAAGAACACCAGUUGCGAAGGCGGCUGACUGGACCCAUAUUGACGCUGAGGCUCGAAAGCAUGGGGAGCAAACAGG
rnacentral:rRNA from 1 species